AUGGAGCCACCAGCGAGGGAUCGCAGCAUGCUCCACCUCUGCUUCCUUCUUGCGUCCACCGCCACCCUCUCGGCUGCCGUUGCGGCUUCCCCUUACUCCUCUGCCUGCUCCUCCCUGCCACCGGCUCACGACCGCCACACGGACGGCGACGACGCCAUUGCGCUCAUCCGCUCCUUCCAAAUCUCGGCUGGCCAGUUCUCAGGCGGCGCCGACGGCUUGUUUUCCCCCGACGAUGACCCCUACGACCCCCGCCCGUUCCACUUCUUUCCACACCGCGCCUCCCGCACGGACGAACCCGCUCUCGUCCACCUCACCGCCACCUUGACCCUCAUUGGCCCCCGCAGCUGGCGCAGCGGAGGCCGCCACCAUUACAGCGAAGCCGCGUCCAUCGCCUUCGUCCUCGACGGUUACCACUCCUCGGCCUCGCUCGAGCUCUGCAUGGUCGGGACUGGCACCGAGCACGCCGCCGACGGUUCUCUCAAGUUGUACCCUGACGUCGUCCUCCGCCUCCACGUCCCCAGCCCUCCCAGCCUCGCCGACCCCUUCGUUUCGGGCAGCAUGGAGGGCUCCUCCGACCUCGGGACCAUGAGCCUCCUCGCGUACGCCGAGGGCGAUCACUACAAGUACGACUCCGAGCGUGCGGCCUGCAGCCCCGGAGCAUCGAGCCAGCCGGCCGGUGGCUCGCUCCGGGCGCUCGGCGGUGUCAACUCCGUGUGCGCCCACCUGAAAGAACAGCUCACGAUCUCCUACAGGCUGGACCAUGGUCGCGCCCCGUUUCCGCGGAUGCGCAUCAACCAGAUGCAGUGCGCCGCGGACGGCGCCGCCGUGCGCGCAUACGCGGUGCUCUCCAACGACACCGAGCCGGACGAGAGUGGCAGCCGUCGACGCCGCUUCUUGGUCGGCGACGAGGCCUUGGUGGCUGACGGGCACUGGGACCAAGCUCAGCGCAUGCUCUGCCUCAGGGCGUGCCGGGUUACGCUACGGGCGCCGCCGUCUGCUCCGGUGGUGGUGCGAGAGGUUGAUUGCGGGAUCGGGAUGAGCUUCUGGUUCCCAGCAGUGUGGACGAUGUGGGACCGGAGCGUGGUGGCCGGGAUGCUCUGGAACUCCAGCCAUGCCGAUGCCGAAGCUGAACCGACCCACCGUGUGAUAACAGCGUGGAGCAUCGACGACCUGAGAAGCACCACCAACCUCUCUGACGUGAAAUAUAACUACAACGACACGAUGCUCGAGGAGGCCAAGAAGCAUCAUCGGGAGCUCAGCAAAGGGAAGAAGGUCAGGGGGUCGCACUCUUUCCCGGAUUUCAACUCUGCUAACGCCGACUCCGAGUUUAGUUUCCACGGCCUGAACUUUGCGGGUGGACGGGCCUACCCAGUCACAAUCGGCUCGGCGAUGGUCGCCCGCAAUAUUCUGGCCGCCAACGAUUUCUUCUCCGGGCACUGGGCGGUCCACGGGGGUACGCGCGCCGCCGCCGACGCCAUCUCGCGGCGUGCAGCGGUUGACGACAUGACGCAGACCCUGCUGAAUGUCAGCUACGUCAUACGCUACUCCUCUCCACGUGACAAGAUCAGGGUACGUCCUGCCAAUGCGGCCUCCUACUCAAACGACUACUCAGAUAGCUUUGAGGAAAGAAAGAUCAUGGCAGAGGGAAUUUAUGAUCGGAAGAGGGGCAUCCUGUGCAUGGUCGGCUGCCAGGAGCGCAACGGCCGCUCGACGGACUGCCAGGCGCUGGUAACGGUGCAGUUCGCUUCCCUUGAUUCCAAGGCGCAGGCGCACGGAACUGGAGCCAUCAUCAGCCUCAGAGACAAGACCGAUCGCCUCUUCUUCGACAAGAUCAACUUCAUCUUGCACGGGAUGUACUCCAGGCAAGCGGCCAUGGCUAUAUCGAGGAUGGACAUGGAGAGCAUCAUGCUUGUGGCCUCCACAACUCUGUCAUGUGUCUUCACCAUCCUCCAGAUCCUCCACACCAAGAGGAACCCGAAGGUGGCUCCGGCGACAUCGGUAACCAUGCUCGCCGUGCUCAGCAUGGGGUACCUUGCCCCUCUCGUGCUCAACUCAGAGGUCCUGUUCGCGAGCAGGAGGAGCCAGUACUAUGAUUCGUACCCCACGAGACGGAGGCUCGAGAUAAACGAGGUCAUGAUGAGGGCGCCUACACUGAUCGCCUUCGUGCUACAGCUGCGCCUUCUUCAGCUGGCGUGGUCUGGCCGCCGCAUAUCCACCGUGUCGGAGAAGGCCGUUCUGUGGAUAUGCCUGCCGCUGUACAUUCUCGGAGGAGUCGUGGCCGCGGUCGUCCAUACGAUCAAGGCACGCGCCGCCGCGCGUAGUGACCCAUGGGCCAUGAACAUGGGGGGUGGGCCGGCGGCGAUCUGGAAGGACCUUGUGUCGUAUGCGGGGCUGAUACAGGAUGGUUUCCUGCUCCCGCAGGUCAUCCUGAACGCAUCCUUGGGAGAGACCAGAGCUCGAGCAAUCUCACCGUGGUUUUACAUCGGGGGCACCAUGAUCCGCUUGAUGCCUCAUGUGUAUGAUGCAGUCAGGUCCCAGAUCUACCAGCUGACCAUGCGCUCCUCCAACCUAUACGCGAGUCCCCGCGGCGACCUCUUUGGUGUGGCUUGGGACGUGGUUAUACCGUGCGGGGCGGCCCUGCUGGCCUUGUUGUUGUUCUUGCAGCAGCGACUUCCACGCACCGAGUCGCUUCCGUCGCAGAGGAGGAGAUUGGGUGGGUAUGAGAUGGCCUCUAACAAUUAA
rnacentral:rRNA from 1 species